rnacentral:rRNA from 1 species
GACGAACGCUGGCGGCGUGCUUAACACAUGCAAGUCGAACGGAAAGGCCCUGCUUUUGUGGGGUGCUCGAGUGGCGAACGGGUGAGUAACACGUGAGUAACCUGCCCUUGACUUUGGGAUAACUUCAGGAAACUGGGGCUAAUACCGUAUAGGAGCUCCUGCUGCAUGGUGGGGGUUGGAAAGUUUCGGCGGUUGGGGAUGGACUCGCGGCUUAUCAGCUUGUUGGUGGGGUAGUGGCUUACCAAGGCUUUGACGGGUAGCCGGCCUGAGAGGGUGACCGGCCACAUUGGGACUGAGAUACGGCCCAGACUCCUACGGGAGGCAGUAGUGGGGAAUAUUGCACAAUGGGCGGAAGCCUGAUGCAGCAACGCCGCGUGCGGGAUGACGGCCUUCGGGUUGUAAACCGCUUUCGCCUGUGACGAAGCGUGAGUGACGGUAAUGGGUAAAGAAGCACCGGCUAACUACGUG